CCGAAUUUUGAGCCGGUCUAAAACCUAAAAUGCCAAAAUUUUGCCUCGUCUUUCCGCAUUCCCGCGUUUGAUCCUUUUUAUUUCCGCAACUUAUUACGUCCUCUGUGUUGUUUCCCUCGUCUUUCUAUUGCUACUGCUGAAACUCAUAUGUAUGUAGGGUUUUUGAUUCUCUCCUCUUUCUCUCUAAACUCUAGAGGAUUUUUUGUUGAUACUACGCCUUCCACUUGCCAUUACGAGUAAUAACAAGGAUGGAUUUGACAUGGCUCGGCGCUGCCCUUUCUCUUGCUGCUACUGCUGAACAAGCUUCAUCAUCUGAGGGGACAUCAGCCGAUGUUCUGGAGAAUUUAACGCCCAAGGUUAGGAAGUGCAUUGAGGUUCUCAGAAGGAUCUAGAUAGACUUGUCGGCUGGUCGUAGAAGCUGCUAUUCAAACUUUCAAAGUCUUCAGUCAAAGUUUAAAGGGUACUAGAAAGUUUCAAUCUGGAAUGGAAGUUGCUAUUUGUUUGUGAAAAUUCAUUGGCAGAAUUGGGGCCGAGUGGAUAAUUUCAGAUAUAAUUGCUGUUUUAUGUGUGGAUGCUUCUCUCCCUGUGUUGGAUCGAUAUGUGGAAAAGCGAGUAGACAGCAUGAUUGAUGCUGGCUUACUAAAUGAAGUUUAUGAUAUUUAUAGCCUGACUUCAGAUUACACUCGGGGGUUGCGGCAGGAUAUUGGCGUACGCGAAUUUGAAGAUUUUCUUAGAAUAUUUCAUUCCAAUACAAAUGCAUCUCAUUCUCGUAUCACAGAUUCACAUUAUGACUCAAGUGCUGGGUGUGGCACGAGUACAUCGACAAACAAGGGAAAUAUGAUUUCAAGAGAGAAUUUGAGGGCUAUUUUGGAUUUCUCUGAUGAUGACUUUUACAAAAUUAUCUUACAAGAAGCUAUUGACAAGCUAAAAGAAAAUACCAGAAGACUUGUUCGUUGUCAAGGUUUACAUCUGGACAACAUUCUUGUUUUUUCUUGUCAUAUUCAAUGCUUGCAUUACCAUCACUAAAUUUGGAAGGAUUGCAUGGGGCGUUUUGGCAUGUUAAUAUUAUAGUUGUUCUUCUAAUCCAAGAGGCCAUCAAGGAUUGCAUUAUAUUUUGCAUAGAUUUGCAUUGGAAGAUGUGCUACAUUAUUUGACAAAUUGAAUGUUUUCGAAGUCCUUGUAUUUUUUUUAUAUGUCAAUUGGAUAUUGUAUCUGAACAAAUUGUUCUGGAUAUUAUAGCAAUUAAUUUUGUAAAU